AUUGAACGCUGGCGGCAGGCCUAACACAUGCAAGUCGAGCGAGCGGCGGACGGGUGAGUAAUGUCUGGGGACUGCCCGAUAGAGGGGGAUAACUACUGGAAACGGUAGCUAAUACCGCAUACUAUCGGAUAACCCAUAUGGGAUUAGCUAGUAGGUGGGGUAAUGGCUCACCUAGGCGACGAUCCCUAGCUGGUCUGAGAGGAUGACCGGCCACACUGGAACUGAGACACGGUCCAGACUCCUACGGAGGCAGUAGUGGGGAAUAUUGCACAAUGGGCGCAAGCCUGAUGCAGCCAUGCCGCGUGUAUGAAGAAGGCCUUAGGGUUGUAAAGUACUUUCAGCCGGGAGGCGUUACCGACAGAAGAAGCACCGGCUAACUCCGUGCCAGCAGCCGCGGUAAUAC
rnacentral:rRNA from 1 species